UUGAUGUGACUCACAAGCGUUAGUUCACCCUCGGGGGCCUUAGCGGAACAAGGCCCUUGCCUGGUAUUCAUUCAGGAGGCAGCUGGCUGGCUUUCUUGGUGGCUAGUUCCUAAGAACUAAGCCACUUUCUCAAGGUUCGGGGCUGGAGUGUCACUCCUGCGGUCUGUGCAGCGUAGUGGGCUCAAGUUUUCGAGGUGACUAGGACAUUCUAAGCCAGCCUUCUACUACAGAGUGCCUUAAGCCUCUGAGGCAAAAGCUCAUCCACGGCCCCUGUGUUCGCUGCAUGUCACUGAUGUCACCUUUCCAAACACUGUGUGUCCCUGGAGUAAAUGUGAAGAAGCUUACAUUUUUUUCUGUGGAGAUUCGAGGUAUCCAGUCCUCUGGAAGAACCAUUUUAACACUAGUUUGGAGGCCUCUGAGACCUCAGGAAUGGGGAGAAACGUUUCAGGGGCUCCGGAUUCUGGUUUUGGUUGGGUACGGUCUUGCGACCCUCUGUUAGUGAUGCUGGGGGCUCUGGCUCUUGCCCUUACCUGGUUUGACCACCCUUCUGGAAGGUGUUCUGCAGGGAACUUGCUUCUUCCCCCCCACUCCACCAGCCAAGGUCUUGCCCUGUCAGAAACUGAUCUAGUACAGUGAUGAGCCAGGGACUGGGUACAGCCUGCUAAGUUUGAGAGAGAAUCUGAUUAACUUCAAGACCUUCCCUGGUGAGAAUCCAACUCAGCCCAGUCCCUUGCCCUGGCUACUGUGUGGCCUUGUGCCUGUUGCAGGGGGGAGGCAGGGGUGAAUAAGGCCAUUGCAAGGACUUUGAGACUGUAACCCUGUUGGAGACCGAGGAGGAGGGGAAUUCUAUUUUUAAAAUGCUCACUGUGGUUUCUGUCAAGAAGAGAAAAGGAGCUGAUGAAAAUCAUGUGUUUCAAAGUAAGUAGAUUGAGAAAUGCUUAUUAUUUGUGCUAAAGAUACUGUCAUUUGUCUGAUUAGCAAUAGAAGAAAAUCUCCUAUUUUAAAGAGCAUGAUAGCUUAUAAGCUCAGUCAGGGAAAGACAAAUAAACAGCCUCAGAAGACUUUUUUGUUCAAGGUAAAACAGAGUCGGUUCACUGCAUUGCAUUAUGAUCAGGCACCACAGGCUGUGCUCAUUAGAGAGUUUUGAAAUAUUUUAGCCCCAAAAAAGGAAGGGAAAAAGAAGAAAGCUUUCUGUCACAGGAAAGCAGUAAAAGAACAUUCAGGUGUAACUGCAGGUGUUGCAUUUCCUGAUGAAAAAGGUGAUUUAUUGCAAACAAAGAAAUUCACCCAGUUUUACUUUUAUAUUCCCUGAAUUGACCUUCUAGUGAGACAAGGUUUUUAUUGCUAAUCUUUGGCCUUUAGCAAAGACCAAAAAAUUAAAAAGGCUGUUGCACACAGCACAUCAUAGUUCUGCAGAUACGCUGCAUGUGGCUCAUGCUUACAGGGUCUUUUAUGUUGGCAUCCUCCUUGCCGGAUAUUCAUUCAUUCAUUCACUCACUUCUUUCAGGCAACAUUUAUUGAGUCCUUACUGUGGAUUUACAUACAUUUACAACACUGUGAAGCAGUUACUGACAACACUGUGAAGCAGAUACUGUUACCCUUAUCCGCCCUAUUUUAUUUCCCGCAUGGUAUCUGCACCCUCUGCAUCUGGUAUCCUCCAUGCCAGAGUGUCUCUACUUUACCCUUUUUGUUGGAUGGAUUUGGGACAUAAUCUAGAAGGAGAAUCAACAAGACUUGGUGACACUUCAGAGGCAGGAGAAUAAAAAAGAAACAGCAUCACAGGUGACUCCCAGGUUUCUGACCUGAGCAACUAGAUGGAUGGAGAUAUUCCCACAUUUAUUGAGAAAGGGAAUAAUUUCAAAGGAGAAUAUAGACAGAUGAAUGUGUUCAUAAGCUUCAUCAUUUGCCUGUUGUCACCAGUCAGAGUCAAUGGAUGCUUUGCAGUUCUCAUCAUAUUAACACUCAGUUCAACAGAUCUCAUCACUUCCUCCUUAACAUAACACUUUUUUCUUUCAUGAUGGUGCCUCCUCUUUUUUUUUUUUCACGUCUUCCUGGCUCCUCCUCCUUAUUCUCUGUUGUUUCUCCCUCUUCUACACGACUUUUAAACGUUGGAGUUCUCCUGGACAUUCCAGAGCUCAGGCUCUCUCUUCUCUACAUUUUCUUCCUAAAGAAUCUCACCCAUUUAUUCCUUUAUUCAUUCAAUGUUUAUUGAACACCUUUUAUGUCCCAGACACUAUUCUGGGCCCAUGGAAUGACAGGGAAUCCUGUAGGGAGGCUGUUGGCAUCAUGCAGGCAGGAGAUGACAGUGGCCUGGGCCAGGCUGGUAGCCGUGGAGAUGGGAGAUGAAGUUGUAUUCUGGGUAUUCUGAAGGCUUUAAACAUCAUCUGUUCACCUGUGUCUACCACAUGUAACCUCUAGACAGACCUCUCUUCUGAGUCUCAGGCGUAUAUCUCUGACACCCCGCUUAACAUUUUGCUUGCAUAUCUUACUGACACCCCAAACCUAGGAUGUCCAAAGUUAAGCUAUUAAUAUCUCUGCAAAAUUCUCCCUUGUCUUUUUCAAUAAAUGUGGGAAUAUCUCCAUCCAUCUAGUCGCUCAGGUCAGAAACCUGGGAGUCACUCAUGAUGCUGUUUUUUACUCUCCUGCCACUCAAGUGUCACCAAGUCUUGUUGAUUCUCCCUCCAGAAUACGUCCCAAAUCCACCCAUUUCCCUUCAUCUCCAUUGCUACCAUCCAGUCCAUACUCUCCUCACCCCUGGCCUGGAUGUCAGCAGUAGCUUCCUAAGUCAUCUUUCAGUUUCUGGUUUUGUUGUGUUGCGGUGAUAUUUAUUCCCCAUCCAUUCAGUGCAGUCUUUUACAACCAAAAUAGGGUCAUUCCUCUCUGCCUCUUGACUCUCCCUGCCCCACACCAUCCCUCAUAAACAUGCCCAUUUACGAAACCUCCAAGCCUGUCCAUUGUCCUGAGAAUAAAUCCACAGGCUCCAGCACGUCCUGAGAGGUCCUGUGUGGUCUUGCCUACCUGCCUUUUCAUUUACCUCCAGACCGCUCUUCCUUUUUUAUUUUUUCUUUUGCCCUACCCAGGUACGUGGGGACUUUCUUGCCUUUUGGGAAGUCUGAAGUCUUCUGCCAGCACUCAGUAGGUGUUCUGUAGGAGUUGUUCCACGUGUAGAUGUAUUUCUGGUGUAUCUGUGGGGAGGAAGGUGAUCUCCGCGUCUCACUCUUCCGCCAUCUUGAAGCUCCUCCCGGUCUCCCUUUUUUAGCAUUCCCCAGAGACUCUUCGUUUUUUGUGUCUCAGAUCUAUCUAAUUUCUCACCUCAAGGCAGUCGUUAUGCUCAUCUCUCAGCCUGGACUCUGUCCCCUGGCUCAGUCCUCCUCGUCUCCAUGUCCACCUUCCUCGUCUCUUCCUCAGGGAAGCCUUGCCGGUUGACCCCUCCUAGAACCUGCUCUGUUCCUUCAGCUUAUCACAGUCUGUAAUUGGAUGAAUAUUUGUGCAUUUAUGUCUUAAUUACCCUCUAGACCAAGGCCCAUGUGGCAGGGGCCAUUUUUUCUGUUUUUCACCUAAGUAUAAUAUGUUGCUGUCAGGUGCAUAGUAAAUGUCCAAUAAAUAUUUCUUAGAUGGGUAGGUGACAGAGUAAAACAGUGAACAAAUGCAUGAAAAAGCAGCAGCUUGAGGAAGGGGUGUGUGUGUGUGUGUGUGUUUGGUGGGUGAGGGGUGGUUCAAAGCACAGGAGAAAUUUCUCCCACGGGUUUGAUGAUUCUCUUGUGAAUUGAAUAAGCAUGGUUUGGCAGUGAUACUAUUUCAGCUUGGUUUGGUUUAACCCCUUCUAAUAACUCACACCAGUCAAGCUUUCAUUGAACUUUAAUCUCAGUAUUUUGUGUUAAAAAGCAACAGAUAUUUCAGAUAUGCCUAGACUAGGAAUCAGUGCAGAGAUAGUAAACGUCAGUUAAUGAAAAUACCUCCGUUCUCUGAUCACCCCGCAUGGACUGGCUGCGUCCGUGUACUCACGCGUCCUCCACGGGGUGGGUGGGGGUGAGGGCUCGUGUUACCUUAGGGUAGUAGUCCUUGUUCCCCGUGGGCAGUCUGUGGUUUGGACCCUAUGAAAGACUUCCUCUUUACUUGGGGAUUAGGAAUUUCAAGGUGGCUGAAAGCUCUCCCAGGCUGAGAACAGGGCUAGGAGGCUUACUGUCCCAUCUCUUGGAGGUGGCUUCUAGAGACCGACUGGGGUUUCUAGUUCCAGGGAAAAGACAACAUCUCAAAGGGGUGCUUAACCCCAAAGGACAGCGCUCCGCGACGGCUGCUGCGUCAGGGACACAAGACCAGCUGUUCACUCGCCGGCUCCCUUGCGGAGACCGGCAGUAAUGACACAGUAGCAGAUGCCAUCGGAAAAUUCCAGCUCCGCUACCACAGGGUCCAUUUCUUAUUUGUCAUUUAUUGUGGCAAGUGGGAUUUUUUAUUGUUGUUGUUUCCAAAUAGAAACAGCUGAGCUUUAUUUGAAAUGUUUUCCCUUGAUUCUCUUUUGAUCUAUGUUUUGAUCAGUUGUCCUUGAUGUGGUUUUUUUUUUAUAUUGUUUUUAUUGGAGGGGGAGGGGACAGGGAUAGGAUGAGAGUCUAAACAGGGUUGGGGUUUUUUUCUGUUCUUUCUUUUUCUUCCUUCCUUUCUGUUUCCUUCUUUCUUUUUUUAUUGAAAGCCCUCAUUUGUAAGUUUUACUUGUGUACAGAAAUGUAACCGUUUAUAGGAAUAAUAACCAAACAGCAUUUCCCCAGUGAUCUCGUGUUCGGGAAGUAUGGCAUAGUGGCAAGACCAUCAGUUCUGGGGCUAGACAGAUGCAGAUUCUGCCCCUUCUUAACCUCUAAACACUUCACUUAAACCUCUGUUGUGAGUUUUAGCUUAUUUAUCUAAAAUGGGACCUGUCCCCGCAGGGUUAUGGUGAAUGUGAAAUGUCAUCAUGUUCGCAAAGUGCUCAGCCUAUAGUUUCUCAACAAGUAGAUGUUCUUGUACAAAUAUCCUGUUACAGCUGUUAAUGCCUAGGAGAAAGGUAUAUUUUCAUCUGUGAUUGCACUGGGUCAGUGGUAGAACUGAAAUAAUAAUGAUAAUAAUAUCACAGGACAGAAGAGAGAGUCCUCAAACAGAGUAACACAUGCACAACAAAGGCGCCCCUGUAGCUGAGCAGAAAAGGAUGGUCUUUUUGGGGGUUUUUUGGGUUUUUUUUUUUUUUGGUCUUUUUCCAUAAAUGGUGCUAGACCGAUUUAAUAUCCGUAGGGGGGAAAAAGCCUACCACCCCUACCUCUUCCCAUUCAUGAACAUUAAUUCAAGAUGAAUCAUAGACCUUAAUGUGAAAGGGAAAACACAAGAGCUUCUAGAAGGAAUCAUAAGAGAAUACGGUUAUUGUCUUAGAAGAGGCAAAGAUUUCAUAAACAAGGCAUCAAAAUUAUAACCGAAAAGUGCUAACUAUAAGAGAAAGACUUUGAAAAGGUUUUUGCAUUGUAUAUAUCUGACAAAGGACUCAUACCCAUAAUAAAUAAAGGACUCCUGCAAAACAACAAAGAAAAGGUAAUUCAGUUUUUAAGAAUGGACAAAAGACCCAUGGCAUUUCACAAAAGAGGAAAUCCAGAUAGAUGGCCAGUAAAUGUAUGAAAAGAGCUCAACAUCAUCAUUCAUCAGGGAAGUGCAAAUUGAACCCACAGUAAGGAGCCCACCAGAAUGGCUCAUAAGAGGACUGACAGCACCCAGUGACGGCAAGGAUGUGCAGCAGCCUGAACCUUAGUAAACUGAUGGUGGAGACGGCAACUGGAAAAAUGCCCUUGGAAAACUGUCGGUGUCUGCUAACACUAGGCGUCCACCAGCCCUGUGAGCCAGCAGUUGCGCCCCUAGCUGUACCCCCAGGAGAAAUGCAUACACAUAUCUAUCAGAAGACGUGUGCAGGAGGCUUCCUAGUCACAUUAUCUAUAAUAGCCCCGAAGUGGAAACAUCCGAAGUAGUCAGCAGUAGAACAGAAGUUGUGGAAUGUUCAUUCCGUGGAACAAUACACAGCGGUAAAGAAUGAACUGCUCUGUGUAACAAAAUGAAUUAACCUCACUAACAUAGUUUUCAGCUAAAGAAGCCAGAUUCAAAAAGAGUAUACACUGUAUGAUUCCAUUUACACGAAGUUUAAGAACGGGCAGAAUUAAUCUGUGGCGACAGCAGUCAGAAUGGUGGUUACCUUGAGGGGUAGGAGGGCAGCUGUUGAUAGGGAAGGGGUACUUGGAGGUCCUCCGGGGUGCUGGGCACAUUCUGCAUCUUGAUCUGGGUGGGGUCAUGUGAUGUGUAUGUGUGAGAAAACCCAUCAGGAUAUACACUUAGGACGUGUGCGUUCUGUUGCUCCUCACAUUAAAAUUUUUAAAAUCAUUGAGUUAUUUCUGGGUGCCAAACCCUAUGCUAUACCCUUUACAUACAUUAUCUCGCACAAUUUUUUUUUUAACAAAAGCCUCUUUGUUGGGAACUAUUAUUUUACAGAUGAGAGAAGUAAAGCUCAGAGAGUUGGUUCCCUGACUGCAGCUGGUCCGGGCUCUCCCAGCUCGUGAGUGGCAGGACCAAGGUGCGAGCCCAGGAUUGUCUAGUUCAAGUGUCUAGACUUCCUUGCGGGUGCUUCCUUCACUCCCUCACAGUGUUUCUUCCAGUCUCCCUUUCCUGGGGGACACGUGGGCAUUCAGAUGGGUUGGAUGCAGUCUUGAGUUAAUUAGUCCUGUUGCGUCUAGCACGUGGUACCCACUCCUCUGCUUUGGCCUCAGGUAAUAAUCGAGGUAGAUACCUAAGCCCUGAGGUGGUAGCCGCCUUGGAAAACAGGUACCUCUGCCACGGCCAACUCCUUCCUCGUCUAAGACUUGAGCAUGUGUGUCUUCCUCCUGGAAUUUUCCCACAGUCCCCCUGAACUGAGCCUGAGUCCCUCGUCUUGAUCUUCUGCAGAUCCGUUGUGUUACCCCUGCCACUCUGUGAACAUAGCACAUGGAAACACCUGGAUACGUAACUCUUUCCCUCUAAAAAAAGUCUAUCCUAGGCGGGAUCUGUAUCAUACUGCACACCCCACACUGGACCCUGUGUGUUACCACAGUGUGUCCCAAAGCAUAUUUUUUUCUGCAGUAUCUUAAAUGCUAUUAUAUGAGGGAAGGCUCCUAAAUAAUACAUAUAUGUAGGACCUGUGUUAAGCAGGUGUCUCUCUUGCAGGGCACCACGGAAUGAAUCUUUACUGUUCUCAUGUGCAUUUUGGAAACUCUGGACUACAGUGCCACAUCUUGGGGAAUGCAGGAAUUAUAGUGUAAACAUGGAGACACGUUCCAUUCUAUACUUUUUCUUCAUGAGGAGUCUAGCUUGUGACUGCGCCUGCCAAGCAGCCACCAGAGGGAGGCGUUCAGGGAAAUGCCUUAAACAUUUCAGAAUGGCACAGCUGGCUAAACUUGAUGUUGUUUAUAAAAGGCAUCAGUGAGUUUCCACACCGGAGCAGUACUUAUGCGGUAUGCACAAAAUGAUACGUUUCUGCUUUUAAUAUCUUACUGUGCCCAUCCUAAUGUUCAAAGCAGAAAUCUUUCUGCUGAAAUCAGUCUUUCCUCCUCCGGAGGGGAAGGACUGUCUUCUAUUGACUUCUGUGUCCCCAGCAUUAAACAGCUGGUGAACCUUCAGUGAUCAUUUGUUCAGUUGUUGAGCUGACAUUAAUUAAAACUAGAAAACCUCUUAAUGCUGUUUGGCUUUCAAAAGGUAAACUUUGGGUUUGGCUUCCCAGUGAUUUAAUUUGGUUUUUUAAAGCCUCUCAUUGAUUCUCUUACCCCUCACCUAGUGUGAUUGAAGAUGUGCAAACCAUAUCUUUCUCCCUGUCCAAAGCAAACAAGUGCGCGCACGACUUCGCAGGUUAGCGGAGGCCUCCCUGGGACCCUGUGUGAAGCAAGUCAGUGAGGGGCUAUGGGUGGGCGAUGCUCAGGUGCCACUCCCAGGCUGAGGAGAGCGUAACACGCUGCCACCCUGCACCCCACACACGCUCACACAGAUGCAGGCCAAGGCGUCAUCUAAAUAGACCCGUUCAGGGGCUUCCCUGGUGGCGCAGUGGUUAAGAAUCCGCCUGCCAAUGCAGGGGACACGGGUUCGAGCCCUGGUCCGGGAAGAUCCCACAUGCCACGGAGCAACUAAGCCCGUGCACUACAACUACUGAGCCUGAGCUCUAGAGCCCGCGUGCCGCAACUACUAAAGCCCGAGCGCCUGGACCCCAUGCUCUGCAACAAGAGAAGCCACCACAAUGAGAAGCCCGCGCACCACAACAAAGAGUGGCCCCCAAUCGCCACAACUAGAGAAAGCCAGCACACAGCAACGAAGACCCAACACAGCCAAAAAUUUUUUUAAAAAGAGUCAAAGAGCACAAACCUGAUGGAUUUGACUAUAUAAAUAAAUAAACAAACGUGUUCAGAAUGAAAGAGGGAAGAAGACCCGUUUUACGUAGCUUCUACGGUAUCCUAGCAACUGGUUCCCCAGGGCUCGAAGCCGAAAGUUGGAGGAGUGGGAUGUCAUAUCUUGCAUGAGGCUCUCACAAAAGUGGACUCUGUUUCCUUGUUCAGGUGUUUUGGCAAAUAGUCCCAACUCUUUUAAAAUGAGACUAAAGUACUUCAGGCUGUACUCCUUCAGAUGGUGUCUACUCAGCUCUUAGUUGUGUGCUGCUCGUUUUCUUACAUCCCUAAGAUCAUAGCGGCUAGAAAUGAAAACUGUUGUCAGCACACUGAAACGUUCGCAUGUGAAGGCUGCCGAGCCGCGCGCGUCUCCUGUGCACACGGAGAGGCCAGAGUGCGUGGUGUGCGCGCCUGCCCGCUGACCUCAGGCCUGCGCGCUUGCCUGGGCUCUGGGUCGGUCUUGCCAAGCCUGCCUCGCUCAGCUGUCCCCCUGCCUCUCGGACGUCAGAACGCGUCCGGUCCUGCUCUAUCUUGUUUACUUGCAUGAAAAGCACAGUUGCUUGAGGUUUAUUGUCACGUAAGGUAGAAAAUGGGAGUCUGUCCUUUUCCAAGGUGAGGUGCCUGGCGUGAACUGUGUCACCGUUGCUCCCACUCAGCCUGGGUGGGGACGGGGCAAGGCGCCCUCACACCAGAAGUAGUGAGACAGGGUCCUCGGAAGCUGCUCCCUUCGACUCCCUGGCUGCCACUUUAGCCACCUGGCUUUGAGGUGACACCGUGUUUCCUUAAUUUUACUUCUCAGCCGUUACUAUCAGUGUUUUAAGUGCCGCCAUAUAAAAUUAAUUUCAAACCAGAAACAAAGCUUUCGCGAACAUUUGUUGCCAUUAAUUUUUGUUCUUAAGGAUCCGCUCCUGUAGCUGAUUGAUUUGACAAAUGCUGUCUGAUGAGCGAAACUUUAGGGAAAGAACGUCGCUGGGAAACCACGUUAGAAAUAACUCGCUUAAAUGAUUUCGCGUUAAUAGUCUUCCAUGGCAGUUGUGAGUUUGCUAGCCUAAGUAUUUUGAAUUUUGAAACUAAAAGAAACUAUAUGAAACAUCUGUUUAUUGUUAUAUUACUUCUGGUUUUCUUUUAAAAACUUUUGACGACUUUAUUUUUUAAGAGCAGUUUUAGGCUUACAACAAAGUUGGGAGGACAGUACGGGGACUUCCCAUUUUCCCACAGCCCUCACACGUGCAGAGCCUCCCUCAUCAGUAACCCCCAGCAGAGGGGCACUUCUGUUUUUUUAACAGAAGUUGAACCUAUGUUGACACAUCAUUAUUACCCAGAGUCCAUAGUUUAAGGGUCCACUUUUGAUGUUGUACAUUCUGUGGGUUUGGACAAAUACGUAAUGACACGUAUCCAUCAUUGUAGUAUCACACAGAGUAUUUUCACUGUCCUAAAACUCCUCUGCGCUCCACCUCUGCAUUGCCCCUCCCCUGACCCCGGCAACCACUGAUCUUCUCCUGUCUCCAUACUUCUGCCUUUUCCAGACUGUCACAGAGUUGGAAUCACACAGCACGUAGCCUUCAGAUUGGCUUCUUUCACUUGGUGAAGUGCACGUAAGCCGCCUCCAUGUCUUGUCGUGGCUUGCUAGCUCAUUUCUUUCUUUAGUGCUGAAGAAUAUUCCAUUGUCUGGGUGUACCAAGUACUUGUUUUUCAAAAUUCUUUUCUCUAACACUGUUUGCAUCAUAAUCAUUCUGCACACCUCCCCAGUCUCUCUAUAGUAUAAAGUAUAGUUUAAAAGAACUUUUAUAAGUCUUGACUCUGUAUUUCAGAAGUUGUAUAUCUGAUGUAUAGAUUAGACCAUAAAGUAGUAAGUCUGAAAUAUCCUAAAUAGCCUAAAGUUCACCUGCAUGACAGUUUCCCUCAGACACUGCCUCUCGUGGCGCUGAACUCAGAUUCCAGGGAGCCUGUCUCUGCAAAGAAUGUGCCGGACGCCUUUUGAAAGUACAUUCAGGACACAGUUUACCAGCACAAGGACAUCCAAAGUUUCAGUGCUUGGUAAUCAUACCUCACCUCUUUCCCCAAAUGGCAUUACCAGGCUGUCUCACUGGGCCUGUUGCAGUUGAGGUAGACUCCUCCGGCUGUCAUACUCAGGGUGGUCCCCGAGGGUGAAGAUCUGCCUUCAGAAGAGCCACUGAAUUCAGAACAGAAGGAUGACUGCCUGCACACAGCGUGCCCAGAGCACUUCCGGCGCAUGGUUUGUGCUUUAGAAGUGUUGCCGUUGUUAUUUAGAUGUGUAUAUUUUCUGACAAAGUUAAUUAAUUCCCAGUUUUUCUUUUUACGUUUGCGUUCUUUAUUAAAAUGAGCAGUGACUUUG